UGGAAAGUUCUCCCUAAUGUUUCCCUAAGGC
rnacentral:piRNA from 1 species